ACACAUGCAAGUCGAACGAGCAAAUACAUUUGAUUUCUUCGGAAUGAAGAUGUAGGCGCGAGUGGCGGACGGGUGAGUAACGCGUGAGUAAUCUGCCUCAUACAGGAGAAUAACACUAAGAAAUUGGUGCUAAUACUCCAUAAGCUCACAUUAUGACAUCAUAGAGUGAGAAAAGAUUUAUCGGUAUGAGAGGAGCUCGCGUCUGAUUAGCUAGUUGGUGGGGUAACGGCCUACCAAGGCGACGAUCAGUAGCCGACCUGAGAGGGUGAUCGGCCACAUUGGAACUGAGACACGGUCCAAACUCCUACGGGAGGCAGCAGUGGGGAAUAUUGCACAAUGGGGGAAACCCUGAUGCAGCAACGCCGCGUGAAGGAAGAAGUAUUUCGGUAUGUAAACUUCUAUCGACAGGGAAGAAACAAAUGACGGUACCUGAAUAAGAAGCACCGGCUAAAUACGUGCCAGCAGCCGCGGUAAUACGUAUGGUGCAAGCGUUAUCCGGAUUUACUGGGUGUAAAGGGUGAGUAGGCGGUCAUGCAAGUCAUAUGUGAAAUGUCAGGGCUUAACCUUGGCGCUGCAUAAGAAACUGUAUGACUAGAGUGCAGGAGAGGUAAGCGGAAUUCCUAGUGUAGCGGUGAGAUGCGUAGAUAUUAGGAAGAACACCGGUGGCGAAGGCGGCUUACUGGACUGUUACUGACGCUGAGUCACGAAAGCGUGGGGAGCAAACAGGAUUAGAUACCCUGGUAGUCCACGCCGUAAACGAUGAGUGCUAGGUGUUGGCCAGAGAUGGUCGGUGCCGCAGCAAACGCAAUAAGCACUCCACCUGGGGAGUACGACCGCA
rnacentral:rRNA from 1 species